AAUGCCGCGUGGGUGAAGAAGGCCUUCGGGUUGUAAAGCCCUUUUGUACGGGAAGAAAUCCCAUUCGUUAAUACCGGGUGGGGAUGACGGUACCGUAAGAAUAAGCACCGGCUAACUUCGUGCCAGCAACCUCGGUGACUGAGCGGGCUGGCAAGGCGCAUA
rnacentral:rRNA from 1 species